GGAAUGACACUGGAACAAUUCCGCGCGUAUGAGCG
rnacentral:sRNA from 1 species